rnacentral:lncRNA from 1 species
CUCCUAGACCCCAUUUAAGGGCUGAGUGCCAUUGAAGAAGGGUCUCUUUCUGGAGAUUGCUCCUCUUGGAGUUUUUAUUGUGAGCCUAUGAUGCAGAUUAUAACAAACUAUCUCAGCAGAUAUUUACAGGCAUUUCUUAGACAACAAUGAAAAGAUGAAAAUAAAAAAGAUCGUUGGAAACCUAGUAAAGUAAGGUUGGCAUCAUUGAUACAGCAGAGGUGGUUGUGAACCUGAAAUUUGCUUGCAGCAGGAGGGACUUUGCUCGCACAAAAAUUUAGCUUUUUAAUAGCCAAAGGAAAUCUGUUUUUCUUGGUGUCUGGGAGGGAAAAAAAACUUAUAUGGAAAGCAGCAAUGAAGCUUCAAAAGUGUUAGUACUUAAAUGUAUUUUAGUUGAUAAUUUGCUUGGAGAGAUCUCCUGCUGUGGAGCUGUUUCUUCUUUCUUGAUUACACCUAUGUUAUGAAAAUUCAUACUGUAAAUUCAUUGUAAAUAAAUAAAAUUGUUUUUUCAUUUAAAAACACAUCUUUAUUUCUUCAUUUCUCCUCAUUAAGGAAAUACUCAUUGGUGCCAACAUUUUGACAAAGCAUUCAAACUGAGAAGAGAUUAUGUAGAAUAGUGAAAAGAAAAAGAAAAUGAUUUUUUUCGUCAGCAUAGAUAAUAUUAGCACAAGAGUAGUCAUAUAGUCAGAAAGAUGUAUGACUUAAUUUAAAGGAC